rnacentral:tRNA from 1 species
AAAAAUUUAGUUAAAUUAAUAACAUUAGUUUGUCAAACUAAAAUUAUUAUUCUAAAAAUAAUAAUUUUUA